UACGUAGGUGGCAAGCGUUGUCCGGAUUUACUGGGUGUAAAGGGCGUGUAGCCGGGUUGACAAGUCAGAUGUGAAAACCAUGGGCUCAACCUGUGGCCUGCAUUUGAAACUGUUUUUCUUGAGUACUGGAGAGGCAGACGGAAUUCCUAGUGCAGCGGUGAAAUGCGUAGAUAUUAGGAGGAACACCAGUGGCGAAGGCGGUCUGCUGGACAGCAACUGACGCUGAGGCGCGAAAGCGUGGGGAGCAAACAGG
rnacentral:rRNA from 1 species